rnacentral:rRNA from 1 species
CGAAGGGGGCUAGCGUUGCUCGGAAUUACUGGGCGUAAAGGGAGCGUAGGCGGGUUAUCAAGUUGGAGGUGAAAGCCCAGGGCUCAACCUUGGAAUUGCCUUCAAAACUGAUAGCCUAGAGUAUGAUAGAGGUAAGUGGAACUCCGAGUGUAGAGGUGAAAUUCGUAGAUAUUCGGAAGAACACCAGUGGCGAAGGCGACUUACUGGAUCAUGACUGACGCUGAGGCUCGAAAGCGUGGGGAGCAAACAGGAUUAGAUACCCUGGUAGUCCACGCUGUAAACGAUGAUUGCUAGUUGUUGGCCGGCAUGCCGGUCGGUGACGCAGCUAACGCAUUAAGCAAUCCGCCUGGGGAGUACGGUCGCAAGAUUA